UACGAAAGGGGCUAGCGUUGUUCGGAAUUACUGGGCGUAAAGCGCACGUAGGCGGCCUUGUAAGAUGGAGGUGAAAUCCCCGGGCUCAACCCGGGAAUUGCCUUCAUGACUGCAAAGCUCUAGGAUGCGAGAGGUGAAUGGAAUUACGAGUGUAGAGGUGAAAUUCGUAGAUAUUCGGAAGAACACCAGUGGCGAAGGCGAUUCACUGCCGCAUUUCAGACGCUGAGGUGAGAAAGCGUGGGGAGCAAAUAGG
rnacentral:rRNA from 1 species